rnacentral:rRNA from 1 species
UAAGGAAUAUUGCUCAAUGGGAGAAAUCCUGAAGCAGCAACGCCGCGUGGAGGAUGAAGGGUCUAUGACUUGUAAACUCCUGUAAAGAAGGAAAAAAUUCCCAUUUGAUGGGAGAUGAUGGUACUUCUGGAGUAAGCCCCGGCUAACUACGUGCCAGCAGCCGCGGUAAUACGUAGGGGGCAAGCGUUGUCCGGAUUUACUGGGUGUAAAGGGUGCUCAGGCGGAUUUGUAAGUCAGAGGUGAAAUCUUACAGCUAAACUGUGAAACUGCCUUUGAUACUGCAAGCCUAGAGUAUGGAAGAGAGUGAUGGAAUAUCUGGUGUAGCAGUGAAAUGCGUAGAUAUCAGAUAGAACACCAAUGGCGAAGGCAGUCACUUGGUCCAUUACUGACGCUAAAGCACGAAAGCGUGGGUAGCAAACA